UUCUGUGCUGGAACAUUUAGAUUAUUGAGAUGCAGAGGGUGAGGUCCAAAGAAUGAACCUCCACCUAUAUUUGAUUAAAGUCAUUGUUAUUUUAAGAGCAGGGUGUAUGGUAGUUGUGUUGUGCGUGUUGGAGUACAAUGCUGUGUGUGACUCAUACACAUGGUAAUGAAAAAUAAACUGAAAAAAAGUUCUUCACGUAUUGAAAGUCUUAACAAAUAUACAUAAUGCUUUGUGAAGAAUGUAAUGGAUUGCAGAUGAGGAGAACUAUUUAUCUAAAGCUGGAAACCAAAACACUUCUGAUUACAAGUUAAUGGCCCUUCAAAGGAAUUGCCCUUGGCACAUUGGAAAUUCAGACAAUAAUCUGAAUUGUAUUUGAGUUUUAGUACGGCCUCUCACACAAGUUUUGUCCAACUACAGGAGAUUGUCGUGGUGGCGGAUAAAAGGCAUGCCUGGAAACGGAAUCCUUUAGUGGUAUGUCUCCGUGCAUCACUCAACUUAAUUUCGAUGAAAAGUAAGAAAAAUGUAAUAAUGGGGACUGUCUGUGCUUUGCACGGUCGGCAGUUCACCAUGUAUCUGACGUUUAUUGCCUGCCUGGUGGAGAAAAUUAUCUUACAACAUGUUCGUGCACUCACAGUGAAAGCACUCAUGUAGUAACAGACAAGAAUGAUCACAGCAAUGAAGGAGGAAAGUCGAUCCUGGCCAAUGAAGGGAGGGAGAAAAAUACUGGGCCAAGUCAGCCGGCUAACAUCAGUUGUAUCAACAUGGCAUAAAUCUUCUGGUGGUCAAAAUGCAUUUUGCACAAUGCUCUGUUGUAUGUUGAAGAUAUCAUUUAAAUAUCAGUUUGAGUACCUAGAACUGUGCCUCAAAGCUGCUUGAAGUCCAUGCUGCAAUAUGAACCUAUGCCCAAGGAAAUCAGACCAAGAAUUAGUACAGUUUGGGCCUCUUAGGUUUGGCAAAUCAUUUCAAUUCUUCACUAUUGAUCAGAGCAUGAAAACCUGGAGAAAGAUCAGACUGGUGCCCAUUGAGUGUGAUAUCGUGAUGACAGGCCUCAGCUACACUGGAAGUCCUUGCAUCACUUCUUGGCCUGGAAGAAGGAAAAACAAAUGUCAAUAAAAGUUUCAAUGUUAGAAGAGAGCUGACGGC